GACGAACGCUGGCGGCGUGCUUAACACAUGCAAGUCGAGCGGUAAGGCCCUUUCGGGGGUACACGAGCGGCGAACGGGUGAGUAACACGUGGGUGACCUGCCCUCAGCUCUGGGAUAAGCCUGGGAAACCGGGUCUAAUACUGGAUAUGACUCCAUGACGCAUGUUGUGGGGUGGAAAGCCUUGUGCGGCUGAGGAUGGGCCCGCGGCCUAUCAGCUUGUUGGUGGGGUGAUGGCCUACCAAGGCGAUGACGGGUAGCCGGCCUGAGAGGGCGACCGGCCACACUGGGACUGAGACACGGCCCAGACUCCUACGGGAGGCAGCAGUGGGGAAUCUUGCGCAAUGGGCGAAAGCCUGACGCAGCGACGCCGCGUGAGGGAUGACGGCCUGG
rnacentral:rRNA from 1 species